rnacentral:rRNA from 1 species
CUGGCGGCGUGCCUAAUACAUGCAAAGCAGUCGAGCGGAGAUUUGAAAAGCUUGCUUUUCAAAUCUUAGGGGCGGACGGGUGACUAACACGUGGGCAACCCGCCCUUGAGACGGGGAUAACUCCGGGAAACCGGAGCUAAUACCGGAUAACACAUAUCUUCGCAGGAUGAUAUGUUAGAAGGUGGCUUUUAGCUACCACUCAAGGAUGGGCCCGCGGCGCAUUAGCUAGUUGGUGAGGUAACGGCUCACUAAGGCGACGAUGCGUAGCCGACCUGAGAGGGUGAUCGGCCACACUGGGACUGAGACACGGCCCACCCUCCUACGGGAGGCAGCAGUAGGGAAUCUUCCGCAAUGGACGAAAGUCUGACGGAGCUACGCCGCGUGAGUGAUGAAGGUUUUCGGAUCGUAAAGCUCUGUUGUUAGGGAAGAACAAGUAACUGUUAAAUAAGCAGGUACCUUGACGGUACCUAACCAGAAAGCCACGGCUAACUACAUGCCAGCAGCCGCGGUAAUACGUAGGUGGCAAGCGUUGUCCGGAAUUAUAUGGGCGUAAAUCGCGCGCAGGCGGUUCCUUAAGUCUGAUGUGAAAGCCCACGGCUCAAACCGUGGAGGGUCAUUGGAAACUGGGGAACUUGUAGUGCAGAAGAGGAUAGCGGAAUUCCACGUGUAGCGGUGAAAUGCGUAGAGAUGUAGGAGGAACACCAGUGGCGAAGGCGGCUCUCUGGUCUGUAACUGACGCUCAGGCGCGAACGCGUGAGAGCCGGACAGGACUAGAUACCCUGGUAGUCCACGCCGUAAACGAUGAGUGCUAAGUGUUAGAGGGUUUCCGCCCUUUAAUGCUGUAGCACACGCAUUAAUGACUCCUUCUGGGGAGUACGGUCGCAAGACUGAAACUCAAAGGAAUUGACGGGGACCCGUGCACAAGCGGUGGAGUGGGGAGUACGGUCGCAAGACUGAAACUCAAAAGGAAUUGACGGGUACCCGGGGCACUAGCGGUGGAGAGGUCUUGACAUCCUUUGCUACUUCUAGAGAUAGAAGGUUCCCUUCGGGGACAGAGUGACAGGUGGUGCAUGGUUGUCGUCAGCUCGUGUCGUGAGAUGUUGGGUUAAGUCCCGCAACGAGCGCGACCCUUGAUCUUAGUUGCCAGCAUUUAGUUGGGCACUAUAAGGUGACUGCCGGUGACAAACCGGAGGAUCGAAAGGUGGGGAUGUCGUCAAAUCAUCAUUCCCCUUAUGACCUGGGGGCUACACACGUGCUACAAUGGAUGGUACAAAGGGCUGCRCCACCGCGAGGUUAAGCCAAUCCCAUAAAAYCAUUCUCAGUUCGGAUUGUAGGAUGCAACUCGUCUACAUGAUGCCGGAAUAGCUUGUAAUCUCGGA